AAAGAAAAUAACAAUGAUUCCCUCAGUAACGGCGAGCGAAGAGGGAUAAGCUCAAAUUUUAAAUCUGUUGGGUUCCACUUAACAGAGUUGUAUUUUGAAGAAACGUUUUCUGCAUCCAGGAUUAGCCUAAAUCCUUUGGGAUAAGGUAUCAUGGAGGGUGAGAAUCCCGUUCAUGGUUAAUCUUAAGGAAGCUCUACGAUACGUUUUCCAAGAGUCGAGUUGUUUGGGAUUGCAGCUCAAAAUGGGAGGUAAAUUUCUCCUAAGGCUAAAUAUUGGCGAGAGACCGAUAGCGAACAAGUACCGUGGGGGAAAGAUGAAAAGAACUUUGAAAAGAGAGUUAAACAGUACGUGAAAUUGUUGAAAGGGAAACGAUUGAAG
rnacentral:rRNA from 1 species